rnacentral:rRNA from 1 species
UACAGAGGGUGCGAGCGUUAAUCGGAAUUACUGGGCGUAAAGCGUGCGUAGACGGUUAUUUAAGUCAGAUGUGAAAGCCCCGGGCUCAACCUGGGAAUUGCAUUUGAGACUGAAUAGCUAGGGUACGGUAGAGGGAAGCGGAAUUUCCGGUGUAGCGGUGAAAUGCGUAGAUAUCGGAAGGAACAUCAGUGGCGAAAGCGGCUUCCUGGACCAGUACCGACGUUCAGGCACGAAAGCGUGGGGAGCAAACAGG